CUCUGUCUUUGCUUAUCUAUAUUCGCAUACCCCAUAACUACAUAUUCUGAACCCUAAAGUUAUAUAAAUAUAAACCGCAGAACAAGUAGCAGCAGCAAUAAAGAUAGAAGAAGCCGGCAUACCUAGAAGAAGAAGAAGCAGAGGAGGAUGCGAGAUUGUUGGAGUAUAUAUGCCUCCUUCUUCGAAACGAUCGAUGUCUCUCAUCAGUCCAUGGUUUCAAAAAAGCUAUCCUUUUUCUCCCAAGAU